UAUAGCCUUUGGGGAUGUAAUAUGAAGCCUUGAAGCAGCAAGUUGAAGAGUUUUUAUUUCAGAAUUUUCCACUGAGCCAGAUACAUUAGCGCCCUGCUGAAUCAGUUCACGAACAGCCUUACCAGCCUCUUCAUCAGAAGAGUCCAGCAUAAAUGUUGCUGCAUUUAGAUCAUCAAUAAUUCGAGAGAUCUCAGCAGCCAACAUAGUUGGAACCAUAGUUUGAAUUUGGCCUAAACUCUGUUCAAAAUUGUUCCUUGAUCUUUGACAUCUUGAGACUAUUACAUCCCCAGUUAUUACCAAAUAUAGUUUACUAGACUCACAGCAGUACCGGAGAAUUUGCCUUGCUUUCUCAAUUGUGCCAUUUAACAAGCAUAGUGCCUGUAUUCCUGAUGCGCAUCGUGGCCGAGCUGCUUCUAUUUCUGGAAAUACAUGUCCAAUUCUAUCAACUAAUUUCAUUAAUUCAGUGCAAAUUGAGCGAUGCGCCUUAAAGGAAUAAAGGUAUGGCAGUGUCCCCAUUCAAAGAGAAGAACGCAGGGUCUAGUAAUGUGGAAACAAAAACAAUAAGAAGAUGAAGAAGAAGCUCCCUUCACUGCUGAUAAGGAAGCUGAAAAACACAACCUCUCUCUCUCUUUGUUAGCACUAGAGCGUCCAAGCUAGCCAAAGCCAAAUUCUUGAUCACAAAAUUUUUCUCAUAUUCGUCAAUGAAUACAAAAUUCUUAC
rnacentral:misc_RNA from 1 species